rnacentral:rRNA from 1 species
AACGAACGCUGGCGGCAGGCUUAACACAUGCAAGACGAACGCUCGUAGCAAUACGGGAGUGGCGGACGGGUGAGUAACGCGUGGGAACGUGCCCUGAGGUACGGAAUAACUGAGGGAAACUUCAGCUAAUACCGUAUGAGCCCCGAGAGGGGAAAGAUUUAUCGCCUUGGGAGCGGCCCGCGUCGGAUUAGCUAGUUGGUGGGGUAACGGCCUACCAAGGCUUCGAUCCGUAGCUGGUCUGAGAGGACGAUCAGCCACACUGGGACUGAGACACGGCCCAGACUCCUACGGGAGGCAGCAGUGGGGAAUCUUGCGCAAUGGGGGCAGCCCUGACGCAGCCAUGCCGCGUGAACGAUGAAGGCCUUAGGGUUGUAAAGUUCUUUUACCCGUGACGAUGAUGACGGUAACGGGGGAAUAAGCUCCGGCUAACUUCGUGCCAGCAGCCGCGG